UGCAUGGUAAUUUUAUUUUAUUGAAAUAAUUUGUGUAAAUUUAUCUACAAAAACGCAAAGUUAUGCAAUUGUUGCGCUUCGCGUUAAUUUAAAAAUGUUGCGUAUUUGCUUAAACAUGUUAUGCAAAUUACUUAACAAAAACGAUAUUUAAUUUUGAUUUAAAAACGCGGGAAAUAAAUAUAGAUUACUCUUAUGAUAUACUUACUCCAUAUACUAAAUAAAGCUAUUUACUACCGAUUUAAUCAUGUCAGGGAAAAGUAAGAAAAAAGUUGACACACAUUUUUUGGUAAGGGAAUCCAGGUCAUCCUUACCAAAAGACAAGUUUGCUACAAAGCAAGAGGUUUUGCAAUACUUCUUGCAUUUAAAGGAGAAGUACCCAAAACAAAAAGAAAGUAGAAUUAUCCACUGUCCAUUGACAAAAAAUCUUGAAAUCAGCUGCCAUAAUGAAAAACAUAUUUGCUGCACUCUUUCAAAGUUAAUUACACCUUGGUUGAAGGGUGGAUUUCAGAUUUUACAAUUACAGACAAUUAGUAUAAAGAUAGAGAAGCUGAUCCAAACCUGGAAACUGUUAAAAAAAAACAAAGCAAGACAAACUUUAUCAGAGAUUGAAAAAAGGAUGAGGUUUUUAACUCAGAUGAAAAGUAUCUUUUGGAUUGCACCUGAGCUUGAUACUCUGGUUGCAAUCAUUAAAGCUGAUAGGAAACGAAAGGAUCAAGACAAGACUGAAGAUAUUGCAUUUUUAUUAGACCAAUUAGGAGAUAGAAAAACUAGAAUAGGUGGAAUCGAUACAAGGUACCUUUACUCUGUAAACAGGAGUUUAUCCAAAAUUAAAAGAAAAUCAAAUUUGCAUGAAACCAUGUCAGAGAGUGAAUUCAGCUCAAAUGGAUCGGAGAAAGAUGAAGGUAAUGAUGAUUUUUCAUACCCAGAUCCAGAGUUAAAGAAAAAAGUCAAAAAAACUAAUACUGUUAUGCUUCCAAAAGAUAUUCUCAAGAGAACUGCUGAUACUGCUGUUGGGGAAGGAAUAAGUCAUAGGCAGCAUGCUUCCAUGAUUAAUAGUAUAAUCGCGAAAUCGGGUGGAAAUGUAGCUGAAUUUAAAUCUUCAACCUCUACAGCAUUACGCGCUGCAGAUAAGGUCAUUCAUGAUGAAUCAAAGAGGAUCAAGGAUGAUUUAAGAAGUUUAAGAAAAAUCAAUAAGAACAUUUUAGUUCAACUCCAUUUUGAUGGAAAAGUAUGUCAUGAAUAUACUGAUGGGAAAAAAUUGGAACAAGAUCGAUUAGCAAUAUUAAUAAACGCUAACAAAGAAACGCACCUGUUGGGAAUUCCACCCAUUUCUUCUGGAACUGGCAAAAAUCAAAAAAAUGCAAUCAGAGAUAUCUUAAAUAGCUUUAACCUUACAGACAAUAUACAAGCUGUAACAUUUGAUACUAGCAGAAUCAACGCUGGAAAAAAAAAUGGAGCUGUAUCUUUACUGGUAAAUGAAGUCUUUCAACGACCAGUUCUAUCUAUUGCAUGCCGACAUUAUGUCAAUGAGCUACACAUAACACAUUACUGGAAAAAUUAUCAAAGUAGCAUUACUUCUGGACCAGAUAAUCUGCUUUUUAAAACUUUAAAAUCAGCAUGGAAUGAUCUUGACGCAGACAACCAGGUUUUGAGAAGAUUGACUAUUCCAGAGGAAACAUGGUUGGUCAUCAAAAGCAUGAAAGCAUAACGUUCUGCAGAAAUAUUAUCGCCAGUGGGUCUCUAAAAAAGGAUGGGGCUACAAGGAAGGACUACAUUGAGCUGGCAGAGCUUACACUUAUGGUGCUUUCUGAAGACAGGUAUAAAUUUCGUACUCCCGGAGCAGUCCACCAUGCCCGUUUUAUGGCAAAAGGUAUCUACUACCUAAAACUCCAACUUAUGAUGGAUGCUAUACCUAGUCUGGAAAAAUGGCUGAAGCAUGAAAUUACUGAAGUGGCAACUUUUGUCUCUGUUUUUUAUACUACCUGGUUUCUCAAAGCUGAACUAUCUGCUGCUGCUCCGAAUCAGGAUAUGAGAGCGCUUUGGCAAAUGAAUAGAUUUAAGGAGUACAAUUUGAUUGGGGCAGAAUCAGUCAUUAAAUCUAUCAAACGCCACACAUGGUUUCUGGACCCUUACCUUAUUGUACUAGCUCUAGCUGAUGAAAAAUGUAAAGAAAGAGGUGAUAUUGCUCAAAAACUAUACAGCUUUGAAUUUCAUAGUAUGGAUGAAUAUCCGUUAGCCCGAAUAAGUGCUAACAUAGAGGUCCUCAAUUCUUUAGACUUCAGUGGACCGAAGCCUCCCAGCUUAGUUCAUUUGGUCACAGAAAAUUCGUGGCUAUUGUUCCUUAUGAUAGGCCAAAGUAAAAGUGACUGUCAAUGGAUGAAAACCCCUCCAGAAUAUUGGACUUGCAACAAUUUCUACUUAAAAUUUCAGGAGGCAGUUUUUAAUCUUUCAGUUGUUAAUGAUUGCUCGGAAAGAAUCGUUAAACUCAUAAAAGACAAAAUUGAUAUUGCCCGAAAAGAAGAGAAAAGACAGGAUUCACUUUUAUUUUUGCAUAAUUACAAAAGGAAGUAUGGAGGAAAAACUAAGAAAUCCAAGAAAAACAAAAAAAUAAACAAUAUAAAAAUAUAACAUAACAUUUUUAAAAAAUAAUUAUAAAUUUUAUAGAAAUUUAAUUA